GUGAAAUUGUUGAAAGGGAAGCGCUGGCAAUCAGACUUGCACUUGGUGUUCAUCAGGGUCUCGUACCCUGUGUACUUCAUCAAGUUCAGGCCAGCAUCAGUUUGAGUGGUUAGAUAAAGGCUUAGAGAAUGUGGCCCUCUUCGGGGGGUGUUAUAGCUCUAGGUGCAAUGUAGCCUACUUGGACUGAGGACCGCGCUUCGGCUAGGAUGCUGGCGUAAUGGCUUUAAACGACCCGUCUUGAAACACGGACCAAGGAGUCA
rnacentral:rRNA from 1 species